rnacentral:rRNA from 4 species
ACGACUCUCGGCAACGGAUAUCUCGGCUCACGCAUCGAUGAAGAACGUAGCAAAAUGCGAUACUUGGUGUGAAUUGCAGAAUCCCGUGAACCAUCGAGUUUUUGAACGCAAGUUGCGCCCGAAGCCAUUUGGUUGAGGGCACGUCUGCAUGGGCGUCACGC